rnacentral:lncRNA from 1 species
GUGGGUUCGAGCCCAAACUCGGUAAGAUGCAUGAAACCGAUCAUCAAAUUUAAAGACCCAAUUCCGCCCACAAAUUAAUACGGUUUGUGCGGGUUUUGGUUUGGAUGAGUCUCGGUUUGAUCGGGUGGGUUGCUUUGGUUAUUUCUCCAAUAUUUUUUUUAUUCAUCUCAAAAUUAUCUGGCUAUUUUUUUAAUAAGACUUUCAUCAACAAAUUAAAAAGAAAAAGGUCAUAGAUCAAAGUAUCAUAGCAAUCAUUAAAAUAUCACGUUAUAAAAAAUUUAACAAGAAGAGAUGAUGAAUUAUAUAUAUUUGAGGGUAUUGUGUAUGAAUAUGUAUAAUGGAUUGGGUUUUGUGGAGUAAAUUUUUUUUAUAGGUCGGGUUACAUGGUUUUGGAUUUGUAAAAAUCGGGCCCAACCGUCUAAACCCACACAGACCCUAUUUUUUAGUAUUUCUUCACCCCGAGACCCGUUUUAAUCCGCCCGAUGGACCCGCAGGUGACUCUGAUAUUUCGGUUGGUGGGCGGGUUCGGAUUUUGUGCUCACCCCUACAAAUGUUAUUUGUUUUUUUUUUUUUGUUAAGUAUCUUAGUGGCUGAAACUCACACAAUUCAAAUAUGGAGAAGUGGGGUGUCCGGGAUUUAAAUUCAGCUUCUGCAUAUAUUAUGCGAUGUCCCUGUCAAUUGAGUUAAGGUCACGAAGAAUUACAAAUGUUUUUCUAUUAGCGAUUUCAUAUUAAUACAUCCACGUGUCAUUGUAUAAAAAACAUACCAUCUGGAUAUAAUAAAUAAAUAAUAGAAGAGUUUCUCUUCUCUUAAAUGAAUUAUGAUAUGGAGAACUACAA